UUCUUCUUCCUCACCCACCCAACGCCAUUUUCUCCCUCCACCAUGAAAAAUUAAUCGUUUUUCAUUUUCUUUUCUUUCUUUUCUUUUCCUUUCCUUUCUUUUCUUGCUUUUUCCUUCUCCUAACUUCUUGGGCACUAAACCUGCAGCUUCUAACCACAUUUUUCCAGCACAACCAAACCCCUAGGAGAAAAGGAGAAAAUCUAUCUUUUUUUUCUUUAUUUUCUAUUUCUACUCCACCAUCACCAACACUUGAAUUUUCAACUUUAAAUCUCCAUUUUUAAGGCUAAAAGGUAUAUAUUUUAAACUCUUGGAAUUUAUGAAUUUAUGGGUUAUAUUUUCAGAUUUUAUUUCCUAAUUUCUUCAAAUUCUUUUUCUUGGAAAUAUUAGGUUUUUGUUGAUUUUUAUGCCUCUAAGUUCACCAAGGUAAAGAACCUUUAAAUUGGAAUAGUUGAUAUGAUGGGUUUAAGAAUUAGACUAGAAUUCUAGGUUAAGUAUUAGGUUAGAAUGUAGUUUAUCCAGUGUAUGCUUAUUAGAAUUAUUAAGUUUAAAUUUAUGAUAUAUUUAAAGCUAUUAUUGUUUAUUAGCAAUUAUAGGUUUUAAUGGUAUAUCGAGACUACCUGGAUUAAGAUCUUGUGGGUGCUAGUCCUGUUAGGUGGCAUUGUUAAGGCGAGUGAACUUGCAUUAAAUUAUUUUUGGGAAAUACAUAUGUGUUCGGAUAAAGCACUUAAAUGAUUUUAUUUGAUUUUUUUUUUCUCUAAAUCAUGCCUGGGAACAAGCCCUUGAUGAAACGUUUUAUGUUGUAAAAUGUGUAAUGUGAUGAACCCAUGUGUUCCUAUAUUCUGAUGAUAUAUGUGUUAUGCUUUGAAUGAUAAUAUUGUGACAUAAUUGUAACCGUGCGUGUACGGUGUGAGAGUGCACAUGCCGGUGAUGAUGGGUGAUUCCAACUAUGUGCGGUGUAGGAGUGCACAUGAGCUGAUGAGCUGGUGGUUGUAUACAUGUUUACACAUACCAUAGGAAUGUUAGAGAAAAUAUUAUGUGAUUGCAAUGAAUGUUGAAUGUUGAAAUUGUUAAUUGUUUCUAAAUUGAUUUUCAAUGCAACAAAAAACUUUUUGUCUUACUUAUCUUGCUUGGACAUUUACUGUGGUUUUCACUAUUCGAUUUCAUUAUGGAUUGUGGAUCCUCUAACACUAAGGGGUUAAAUAAUCAAAGGUCGAAUUGAGGGAUUUUACGAGCAAUUAAACUAAAUUGCAUUAUUUUUUAACAUAAGUGCAUCAUGAUUUCUAAACUUUCCUUAUCGUUUGCUUAUUCCUUUCCUAUGUUCACUUAUUAAGUUUAUACUCACUCUUUUCAACUUCAUGUUUUUCAGAUUUGGAGGUAGUUAGGACCUGAAGAGUUUAUUUGUGUUUGCCAUUUGGUAGGUACCAUGGCAUCUAGUAACAGUACCCACGCCUAGAGUCACUCCGCUGAUAGUCAAGGUCUCUUGCAUCUGUAAAUAGUUACUUAAAUGUAAAUUAUAAGAUUAUUGUGCACUCUGUAUGUUUGAUUUGAUUAGCCAUGUCGUUUAAGGUUGACGAAUGAUAACCCUAUUUUGGGA
rnacentral:lncRNA from 1 species